GGGAUUAGAUACCCCACUAUGCUUAGCCUUAAACCUAGAUGUUUAAUUUACAAACAACAUCCGCCAGGGUACUACAAGCGCUAGCUUAAAACCCAAAGGACUUGACGGUGUCUCAGACCCACCUAGAGGAGCCUGUUCUAGAACCGAUAAUCCCCGUUAAACCUCACCACCCCUUGUUUUCUCCGCCUAUAUACCGCCGUCGCAAGCUUACCCUGUGAAGGUCUCAUAGUAAGCAAAAUGGGUAAAUCCCUAAACGUCAGGUCGAGGUGUAGCUUACGAGGUGGGAAGAAAUGGGCUACAUUUUCUAUACCAGAAUAAUACGAACAACACUAUGAAAUUAGUGCUCGAAGGUGGAUUUAGUAGUAAAAAACAAAUAGAGAGUCUUUUUGAACCAGGCUCUGAGACGCGCACACACCGCCC
rnacentral:rRNA from 1 species